UACGCAGGGGGCAAGCGUUAUCCGGAUUUACUGGGUGUAAAGGGAGCGUAGACGGCUUUGCAAGCCAGAUGUGAAAGCCCGGGGCUCAACCUCGGGACUGCAUUUGGAACUGUAUGGCUGGAGUGUCGGAGAGGCAGGCGGAAUUCCUAGUGUAGCGGUGAAAUGCGUAGAUAUUAGGAGGAACACCAGUGGCGAAGGCGGCCUGCUGGACGAUGACUGACGUUGAGGCUCGAAAGCGUGGGGAGCAAACAGG
rnacentral:rRNA from 1 species